rnacentral:rRNA from 1 species
UACGGAGGGUGCAAGCGUUAAUCGGAAUUACUGGGCGUAAAGCGUGCGUAGGUGGUUCGUUAAGUCCGUUGUGAAAGCCCCGAGCUCAACUUGGGAAUUGCAGUGGAUACUGGCGAGCUGGAGUGCGGUAGAGGAAGGUGGAAUUCCCGGUGUAGCGGUGAAAUGCGUAGAGAUCGGGAGGAACACCAGUGGCGAAGGCGGCCUUCUGGACCAGCACUGACACUCAAGCACGAAAGCGUGGGGAGCAAACAGG